rnacentral:lncRNA from 1 species
UGGAGCAGGUGCUUCCCAUUGGGUUUCUGCACAGGCCCCACGAGGAUUGGCUGCACUUCUUGUCCCCAGGGAGCACGAAGAGGUUCACAGCUGGAAGUGGUGCUGGGAUUUGGACUUGGCUCGCUGGGCUCCAGAGCCUAUCGCUGGUAUGCCACCUCUCAGUGGAGCAGUGGGGUUGAAAGGAGAUGACUGAUCUAAAAGUCUUAGGACACAGUCAUGUUCUCAUAAAUAAUAACUGCCGUGAUCUACUGCCUGCAGAGGGGCUCAGGCAGGAGGGGGCAUACCCUGGCCUGUGGGUCAGCACCAGUGUACGUGGAUCUUGCUGGAGGGAGUGGUCUACAGGGGUUGCUGUGCCCCCUCCUUCCCCAGGGGGUUGAACCCACCAGGCUUUCAGGGUGAGGCUCCCCCAGUUACCUCUAAUCUGGUUCCGGGGUGCUGAUUGUGUGCUAGGCUUCGCCUAACUGAGCCCUUAGAAGCCCUGAGAGUUGGGCAUUGUCUCCAUUGUACAGAUGAGAAAACUGAGGUCCAUGCUGACCUAAGUUACACAGCUCAGGACAGAUGGAGCCACAAUCAGAUUCAUCUGCUCCAAAAUCUUUUCCCCACCUUCCUAGCCAGCUCCUCAUCAUGGCCCUGGACAUGAGGCCUCACUAUACACCAUGAACCUGCCCCAGGACCAUUUUGAGCUCUCUCGCUCUCUGUGGAUGGGGUCUUCUAAGGCCAGCCUGGCUUGGCAGGGACACACCGGCCUUUGUGUAGGCUUGGGUAGGCUCGGGCCAGGCAGGGCCACCAGCACAGUGGGGAGAGGGCGGUGCGGCCCAGCCGGCCAGAGAUAAAUGCUCAGAGCAGGGAAUAGAGGCCCCUUUGUGUGGUGCUCAGUGGGGGAGGGGAUGUUGCCAGCUGCCACCCUGUGUGACCGGGGAGGCCUGAGCCCUCCACAGAGGUCUGCCACCACCCCCCGGAGACUGGCCAGGGAGCCUGUUAUCUCCCCUGCCGCCACCUUCCGACAUUUAUUUGCCUGCUCCUGUUUUCUGGGACCUCGCUGUUAGAGAAGCCAAGGGCAGUCAUUAACUUGGUUGGCUGUAGGCCUACUGUGCGCCAGCAUGGGGCCAGACACUCUGGCAACCCUGCAGGCAAAGCUUUGGCAGUAGUCUCGUUACAGAUGAAGACAUAGGCUCAGAGAGGACAGGGAAAGUGCCGUACUCACAGCUGCUCACAGGGCCAGCGUUUGACCAGCUUCAAUGCCUUUACUUUCCAUGGAGUUGUCCUUUGUACCCUGCUGGUCCCGGGACCAGGGCUGCGACCUGAGGUGCCCGUCUCCAUUGCUGCAGCGGCUUUGGGAAGGCUGCUGGCUGCCUUUGUUCCAUGGGCAGGCACCAGGCGUCCAUUCUGUCCCUCCUUCCUGUCCAGACUCUGCCCUAGCAGCUGUAGCUUUAGUGGGGUUUGAGGACAGGACCUCGUUGAGGGCUGCCCUACCCACUAACCUUUCUCAGAGGCUCAGUCUCCUUAGCUUAAAAAUGGGAAUGGAAGAGAAUACACCCCUAGGGAGCAUUUGGGAGACGUGCCAGGACACAGGUAAAGUGCUGAGUUUAGAGCCUGUACAUGGUCAGGCUGCAUGAAUGUGGCCUGGGCUCUCUGGCAUCCCUACCCCUUUCUAGGAGAGGGAAGAGGACAAGCUGAGGCAGUGUGCAGGUGGCAGGCAUGUGGGGUAAGUCUUAGGAGCAUCAACACAUGGCAGGGAUUGUCUCAUGGGGUCCCUGCCAUAGCCCUACUUCACAGAUAGGCAGACCGAGGCUCAGAUAACUGAAGUGACUUGUCCAGAGUCCUAGGAACACAGGGCAGGUAGUUUCCUGGAAGGCCCAAUCCUUAGUCUCUUAUUGACCUCCACUCUUCUCAUCGGGCAGCUGUCCACUAUAGACACAGACCAAGUCCCCUCUGUGCUGUGGGAGGCCCAGAACACCCCCAGGCAGCCCAAAUGCCACCUGGCUUUCCAUGGCAUAUCGUGGCACCCACCAGAUCCAGCUUGCACCCACCAGGCCAUUCCCUCCUCUGUGCCUUUGUCAGCCCAGGGCUUCCCCUGGGACUGCCCUUGUUCCCUUCCCCAACAUGCACACACAUGCAUGCAUGUGUAUAUAUGCACAUGCACACCCCAGCACACAUGCAUCCCUUCCAAGCAGAGUAAGUCCCGCUCGACACUCCCCUAGCGGUCCUCCAUCCGGGUGGGACUUGGAGUCCCCCCUGGGUCCCUUACCCUGCCUCCUGCCACCAGAGCCCCAAGCCCUAUGCCUCUCCCAGCUCUUCUGCUACAGCAUGGCACAGAGUAGGCUGUCAGUGAAGUCCGAGAUAGAGACGCAGCCCUGGCCUCAGGGACCGAGUCCCUGCCCAGUGGAAGAAACAGAUACAAAACAGCUCAGAGAUGAGGCUGUCCCAGGGUGGGAUCGAGUACAGGACACCUGGGAACAGGAAGCUCCCACCCCAGCCUACCCUCUCCGAAAGGGAGCCAACCCUUCCAAGUCCCAACUCUCCUCCCGAAAUCUCAGCCAUCUUAUUUUUAAGCCUCCCAAAGCGAGGCAGGGGUUUCCCAGAUGGGAAAAAAGCCUCAGGAAGGCAGAUACUGGCGGAGACCACAGUUUCUGAGGGCAGAGCCUUGGUCUGAGCCUCAGACCAUGCAACCCCAAAGCCUGUGCCCAUCUCCAGGGUGGAAAACUCAGGUGCCCACAGGGGCCAACCAGGUGACAUGAUGAACAAAGCAGCUGCUGCUAGGCCUCAUGGGAAUGUGGGCUCAGAGGUUCCAGAGCUGCCAAUUUUUGUUUGUUUUCAAGGCAAACCAGACAAUGAGAAUUUGGGGUGAAAUUUUAUUUUUCUUUUCUUUUAAAUAUUGGCAACCAUGUCACAGUUUAUUUUUUCCACUGUAGCAAACAGGGCAAAGAAAAGAUGUUUGUGGGUGGGAUUUGCACCCUUCAGGAAUACGGUGGUGUCUGGGCGGGGAGCAUGAGGUGUGGGUCCCAGGAUGUCAUGCCUUCUGUGUCCCCAGAAGCCAAUCUAGCAGCUCCGUGCACCCCUCAAGACACCCCCAGACGCCGCCUUCACUGCCAGAGGCAGGAGGCAGGGCCCAGAGCCCCGCGAGGGCACCACCCAAAUAGCUAUAAUCAGCAGCCUCGCCAAGACUUCAAACUCACCCAAUUAUCCUGCGAGGGAAAAAAAACACAAAAUGAAAACAAAUUAACAUGUUUGCAUAGAAGCUGCUGCAGCAACAGACACAGCCGUGCGCGCGCACACUCUGUGUGCAGCAAGGCCCUGAGCCGCCACCGCCGCUGCCAGCCCCCCAACCCCCGCCCCGGGCCUGGCACCCCCUGGCAGGGCCGUGCCAGUCUGUGCCCACUGUCCUGAGUCAAAAUGUGCCCUGGGCCCAGCGACCAGAUUGUCCCCAAACUCGACUAGGCACUGUCUCAGUCCAUCAGCCUUCAGGGUUUGUUUUUUUUCCCCCCAAUUACUGAACAUGUGAAAUUCAUUGUGUGCCAAAAUUCAGCCUCAUUGACCUGUGCCCCUCCCUUUAGAUGGGGGAAAUAAGCACAGAGAGGUUAGUUGACCUGCCCAACACUGCACGGAUGGUGAGUGGAAGAGCUGGGGUUUAAAUCCAGAUAGGCCAGCUCCAGUGUCUUCUCUGUAACCACCGCAUGUUCUCUGUAGCUUCCUCUGGUCUGUGGAUAACAUGCUAAGACCUGAGCCUGGCCUUCAAGCCCACUGCCCCACCCCAACCCCUCCAGGCUGUGUCCAUUCUUGCAUAACCCACCCAAACUGCCCACCCAUGUUCUCUCUUAUGCUGAGGGGCUGUGGGCGUGGUGGUCAUGAUCACGGAGGUUAGGAAGAUUCAGUGUGAACAACUGCGAAGUGCUGCCUUUGGCAUCUGCCCAUGGGGUUGGGUCCCACCCCCAGAAUACCCUCACACCCCAACCCUACCGUUCAGUAAGCCCUAUAAGACCUGGCUCAUCAGACUCACGAAGCCCAUGGGGUGCCUCUGUGCUCUGUGCAGUUCCCAAGCACACAGUCAAGGGGCUGAGAUGCUCCCCCUUCCUCCUGGGAAUGACCUUUCUUCUCUGGGCUCCCUUGAGGCUCCCUCUGACCGGGGUUGAGGUUGCUGGGCGUGUGCCUAAUCGGCCCCGCAGCCUGGCACUGCAGGUGCUCAGCCAAGGUUUUGUGAGUGGAGCCACGCCCACUCUCAUCUGGUGCUUAUGGGGCUUGUUCCUGGGAGUUGAGCAUAAACUGUGCUGGAAGGAGUUGGGGUUUAGGUCUCAAGGGUCUCCAGGACAGGGCUGCCUCUACCUCCCUGUCCCUUUACCCUGCUCUGCUCUGGCUGUGGAAAAAUCCCUUCACAUCUUGAAGCCAUUUGCUAUCACCCUUAGCCCUUGUUGAUGAUGUUGCAGGCAUAGUGGUUGCCCAGUGACUGGUGGAUUUCGAGGAGCUAAGAGGGCCCCACUGAGUAAGGGACUGCACUCCACAUACCAUCAUCCAGUUUAGUCCUCACCAUGGCCUGGUGACAGAGGUACUGUUUCUAGCCCCAUUUUUCACAUGGAGAAAUUGAGGCCCCCAAGGGACCAGGUGACUUCCUCAAGAGAAUCCUGCUGCAAGUGGCAGAGCCAGGAUUCUGGGUUUGUGCUUUAGCCAUUCUGGAUACUGCUGAUAAGGGGCAGCACCUUGCAGCUCUGGAGCGAGAGGCCCAGUAGGACACCAUCCUAGUGGUGGUGGUAGAAGACUAACUCCAUUGUACUCAGGGUAGCUAGCCCCUUUGGAAUCAGCCUCUUGGCCUGCAGUCAUGCCCACUACUCGGGGCCAGGGUGGCAUCCAGGGGAGGUGACCCAGUGCCCAUUGCAGGAGUGGCCAGUAGGACACUGGGUGCUCACUUGGAAUCCCAACCUUCCCUUGGCAUGGCUCUGCCAUGGGCUUCAGAGUGCAGCAGACCUGGCUUCACCUCCGGACCCCAUCAAGUGGCUUUAGAUAAACCCUGGUCCUCUCUGAGCCUCUCCUUGCCUCUGGAGAACAGGAGGUGUGGAUAUGCCCAUACUUCUCGGGAUGGGCUUGAGGCUGGGUGAAGCAGCCCCCUGCCCAGACCUCUUAAGGAGCCCUCUCCUCCAUUUCUAGAAGUUUCCCAGCCCUUAAGCUCCAUGACACUGCUAAGGAUGGGACUCAGAUUGCUGCCCAGCCCAUGUCCCACUCACCCACCUGUGUUGUUGAGCACACUUGGUUCUGUGGGUUCUCCAUGUUCCAGAUGAGCAGAGGGGUUUAUAGGACCAAGGUGAUAGGUACACUGUGCUGUGAAAUGAGGGAGACACCCCAGGGGCCAGGGCAGGUGACCAGAGAGGAGAGCUGUGAGCCCUGGGCGGUAGAAACAAUGGUCGAGAAGGAAAGGCUGAGUGCAUCCCUCUGAUGGGAUUUACUGAGCAUCUACUCUGUUCCUGGCCUUGGUAUAGAAACUAGAGAUAGGUGUGUGAAGCCCCAGGCUCAGCCGCCUCCGCUGUGCACCCUUGGGCAAGCCAUGGUCUCUCGGGACCCAGCUUUCUCACACAGGGUAGUGGAGAGGGUCAACCAGAAGUUGACAUUCAGUACUAAGUGGCUGAGAGCCUGGGAGUCUCACACAGAGGUUCAUCCCCUGGCCCUGCCUCUUGGGGGUAGGGUAAGAGCUGGUUCCAGUGGCUGUUGCAGAGCUAUGUAUGGCAGAGGACACCUGCCCACCCUUCUGAGGCAGAAGUUAGGGGCUGGUGGGGUGUAAGAAGUAGGGAGAAAGUCCCCCCCCCCCAUUACAAAAGUAAAAUUCAUCUUUUAGUAUUUGGUAAUGAGUCUGAUGAAGAAAGAUUCAGCUGUCAUCCAUCUGCCCAGAGCUCAGCACUUCGUCUCAUGCUGAGGACUUUCUUCCUAGGUGUUGGGCAUUUGGGGUGUGUCUGAUUUUGCCUUGUGUAAGUGACCGUCCUGGUCAAGUGGGCCCUGUGUGAGGAGGUGAGGGUACAGGGCCAAGCCCAGUCCUGGCCCAGAAGGGCCCACUUCAUGCUAAGCCUGCUCUGGGCCCCGCACCGAUCGGCACAUUCCGGCCUGGGCUUCUGGGAGCCACCUGCCCACCCGCCCGCCCAGCAGCCCAUUGUCUGGCAUGUGGGGGCUCAGAGCAGCCGUUGUUCUGCACACAUCUGAUCCUGUCUUUUCCACAUCAGAUCAUUUGUAACCGUCACCAGGCAAUCGGGCCCGUCGCUGAUUCAAUCUCGGCUUUGUGCUGUCACAGCUGUUUUUCCGCGCCGGGCUGAUUUUGAAAGGAGGCCCAUCUUCUGGGCCCGCUCUUCAGAAGCAGGGGAGGGGGUGGAGGUCUUUAUGUGUGUGUCUGUGGGUAUGUGUGUGUGCACAUCCUCCCCCUCUCAGCAUCCCCCCCCCCCCCACACACACACAGGCCUCUGCCUCUCCUCACCGAGUAGAAUUGGGAAUGAGGUACACAGUCCAGGGUGCUGGGGGCCCAUGCCCAUUCCCUACCACCUGCCUACCCUGGGCACCUAUGUGCUACGUGCCCCAGAGUGCAAACACAGUGGAGUCUGUGCCCCAGUAGAAGAGACAGAUGCUAAACUAUUCGUCAAUAACAUUUCAGAGUGGUAACGACAAUGAAGGAACUACAGCCAGGAUGGGAUAGUGGUUGGAGUGGUCAAAGAGGACCUCUUGGAGGAGGUGAUGUUUGAGUUGUGUGAAUGAAGGGUUAGAGCUGAUGUGGAGAUUGUCACCCCUUCUGAACUGAUGCCCUCUUAUGUAAAAUCUACCCCAGCUUUCAAAGACUUAAUGGGGGGGGGGGAAGACUUAAUGGAGAAGGAAAAAAAAAGAACAUAAAGUAUCUCAUUAGUUAUUUUUAAAUAUUGAUUACACGCUGAAGUGAUAACUUUUCAAUAUAUUAGAGUAAAUAAAAUAUGUUAUUAAACAUAAUUUCCCAGGGCAUCUGGCUGGCUCAGUUGGGAGAGUGUGUGUCUCUUGAUCUCAGGGUUGUGAGUUUGAGCCCCACAAUGGGUGUGGAGAUUACUGGAAUACUGGAAGAUAAAAUCUUUAAAAAUAAACCAAAAACAAAACAAAA